UACGGGGGGGGCAAGCGUUGUUCGGAAUUACUGGGCGUAAAGGGCGCGUAGGCGGUCAGGUCAGUCCCGUGUGAAAUCCCUCGGCUCAACUGAGGAACUGCACGGGAAACUGCCUGGCUUGAGUUCGGGAGAGGGAAGCGGAAUUCCGGGUGUAGCGGUGAAAUGCGUAGAUAUCCGGAGGAACACCGGUGGCGAAGGCGGCUUCCUGGACCGACACUGACGCUGAGGCGCGAAAGCUAGGGGAGCAAACGGG
rnacentral:rRNA from 1 species